GUGUCAGCCGCCGCGGUAACACGUAGGUGGCAAGCGUUAUCCGGAAUUACUGGGCGUAAAGGGUCCGUAGGUGGGUCAGUCAGUCUGGUGUGACAUCUCCCGGCUUAACUGGGAGGGUGCAUUGGAAACUGCUGAUCUUGAGUCACAGAGAGGGGCGUGGAAUUCCAGGUGUAGUGGUGGAAUGCGUAGAGAUCUGGAGGAACCCCGUUGGCGCAAGCGACGCCCUGGCUGAGGACUGACACUGAGGGACGAAGGUGUGGGGAGCAAACAGGAUUAGAAACCCCCGUAGUCC
rnacentral:rRNA from 1 species